rnacentral:lncRNA from 1 species
CUCAGGAUCAAUUUUGCAUAUAAAAUUAUUAAAAUAAUAAAUUUUUCACAAAUAAUUACUGACCAAUAUCAACAACAGUUGUAUUUGAGAAAGAACGGACUUUAUAAAUUGCAAUAGAAGAAGCGUGCCAACGGGACCCAACGUUUGUCUUUCUUGCCCUAAUUUGGGAGAAGUGGAGCUUCAGAAUCAACAAGAGGAAGGCAGCUCUUUUCAAAUAUACCAUUAUAACUUAGAAGAUCCAACACAUCCC